GAAGUGCGAACCAAGCUGCGGCGAUAGCCGCGUGAGACUUGGAGCGGGCGAUUGUAAGGUCGUCCUGCG
rnacentral:sRNA from 12 species